rnacentral:rRNA from 1 species
CUCAGAUUGAACGCUGGCGGCAUGCCUUACACAUGCAAGUCGAACGGCAGCGCGGGAGCAAUCCUGGCGGCGAGUGGCGAACGGGUGAGUAAUACAUCGGAACGUGCCCAAUCGUGGGGGAUAACGCAGCGAAAGCUGUGCUAAUACCGCAUACGAUCUACGGAUGAAAGCAGGGGAUCGCAAGACCUUGCGCGAAUGGAGCGGCCGAUGGCAGAUUAGGUAGUUGGUGAGGUAAAGGCUCACCAAGCCUUCGAUCUGUAGCUGGUCUGAGAGGACGACCAGCCACACUGGGACUGAGACACGGCCCAGACUCCUACGGGAGGCAGCAGUGGGGAAUUUUGGACAAUGGGCGCAAGCCUGAUCCAGCCAUGCCGCGUGCAGGAUGAAGGCCUUCGGGUUGUAAACUGCUUUUGUACGGAACGAAACGGCCUUUUCUAAUAAAGAAGGCUAAUGACGGUACCGUAAGAAUAAGCACCGGCUAACUACGUGCCAGCAGCCGCGGUAAUACGUAGGGUGCAAGCGUUAAUCGGAAUUACUGGGCGUAAAGCGUGCGCAGGCGGUUAUGUAAGACAGUUGU